rnacentral:rRNA from 1 species
AUGGCGACCGGCGCACGGGUGAGUAACGCGUAUCCAACUUCCCCGAUAGUAGGGCAUAGCCCGUAGAAAUGCGGAUUAAUACCCUAUGUAUUCCGAGGAUGACAUCUGAUUCGGAACAAAGGUUCACCGCUAUGGGGAUGGGGAUGCGUCUGAUUAGGUAGUAGGCGGGGUAACGGCCCACCUAGCCGACGAUCAGUAGGGGUUCUGAGAGGAAGGUCCCCCACAUUGGAACUGAGACACGGUCCAAACUCCUACGGGAGGCAGCGAGUGAGGAAUAUUGGGUCAAUGGGCGAGAGCCUGAACCAGCCAAGUAGCGUGCAGGAAGACGGCCCUAUGGGUUGUAAACUGCUUUUAUACAGGGAUAAAGUCGGGGACGCGUUCCCCGUUUGCAGGUACUGUAUGAAUAAGGACCGGCUAAUUCCGUGCCAGCCGCCGC